rnacentral:rRNA from 1 species
GAUACCCUAUUAUUUUGAAUUAAAUUCUUAAUCUUUAAUUAUUAAUAGCUAUGUUCUUUAAAGUUAAAAAAUUUGGCGGUAUUUUAGUCUGUUCAGAGGAACCUGUUUUUUAAUCGAUGGUCCACGAUUAAUAUUACUUUAAUUUUGAAUUUAUAUAUCGUUGUUUACAAAAAUUUUAUGAGAAUUUUAAUUUUUAAUUUGUUUUAUUAGGUUUUAUUUCAGAUCAAGGUGUAGUUGAUAUUAAAGAUAAAAUGGGUUACAUUAUAAAUAUAUGUGGUAUCUAGGUUUAUAAUUUAGGUUAAACUGGAUUUGAUAGUAAUUUUUAAAUUUAUGUAUGUUGAUUUAGCUCUAAAAUAUGCACACAUCGCC